CGGACGGGUGAGUAAUGUCUGGGAAACUGCCUGAUGGAGGGGAUAACUACUGGAAACGGUAGCUAAUACCGCAUAAUGUCGCAAGACCAAAGAGGGGGACCUUCGGGCCUCUUGCCAUCGGAUGUGCCCAGAUGGGAUUAGCUUGUUGGUGGGGUAACGGCUCACCAAGGCGACGAUCCCUAGCUGGUCUGAGAGGAUGACCAGCCACACUGGAACUGAGACACGGUCCAG
rnacentral:rRNA from 1 species